GCGAUGGCCUCGGUUGCCCUCAGCUGAUUGAAAGGGAGUUGGGUUCAGAUCCCCGAAUCCAGAAUGGCGGAGAUGGGCACCAUGAGGCGUCCAGUGCGGUAAUGUGACUGACCCUGGAGAAGCAUGUGGGAGCCCUGGGGAGGGUUCUCUUUUUCUUUGUGAAGGGCAGGGCGCCCUGGAAUGGGUUCGCCCCGAGAGAGGGGACUGUACCUUGGAAAGCAUCGUGGUUCUGGUGGCAUCUGGUGAGCUCUGGCUGGCCCUUGAAAAUCCAGGGUAGACGGUGUAAGUCUCACGCAGGGCCAUACCCAUGUCUGCAGCAGGUCUCCGAGAUGAGCAGACUCUGGCAUGUUGGAACAAUGUAGGUAAAGGAAGUCCUCAAGCCGGAUCCAUAACUUCGGGAUAAGUAUUGGCUGUAAGGGCUGGGUCGGUUGGGCUGGGUGCGUGCCGCCGCUCGACGAGGCCCCGCUGCCCCCCCCAAGCCCCAGGAAUGCCUGUUGUGGCCCUCCCCUGCCCCAACCCGUGUGCUGCUCACUCCCUCCCCCGCCCCCUCUCUCUCUGUCCUCCCCCUCUAUGGAGGUGGUGUGUGGGGGCGGAGGGGUGGCAGUGGCCAUACAGCCCCAGUGGCAGGGCAUGAUCUCCCGUGAGGGGGUGCUGGUGGUGGUGGUGACUCUGGACACAAGCUGGGCCCUUCCCAUGGAUUGCCCCAGUUGUGGCCACCCAUGGGGAGCCCAGUGGGUGCUGGUGUGUCCUGUCUCGCUCUGCGCUGUCAUGCGUGUCAGCGUGGGCAGGGAGUGAUUGGGUCAGUGGGUGGCAGGCGGGGUGGUUCAUUCCCCCACCUCCCCCGCAGCCCCAUCUGUCUCCUGUCCCCCCCUCCGUGGAGGUGGCGGGCCGCGGGCUGGUCCCCGCCACAGGGGCCACGGUUCCAUGCAGCACCUCCGCCGGUGCUUAGCAGCCGACUUAUAGAACUGUGUGCACCAGGGGAAUCCAACUGUUUAAACAAAGCAUCGCGAAGGCCCUCGGG
rnacentral:lncRNA from 1 species